rfam:Felis catus isolate Cinnamon breed Abyssinian chromosome A3, whole genome shotgun sequence.
AAAGGAUACAGUAUGGAUUUUGGAGGAGGGCAUCGCUGCUGGGCCUCAAAGAGAACCCAGGUAGACAUCUACAGCCUUGGGUCUCUUCAUCU